rnacentral:lncRNA from 1 species
GUCCAUUCAUGCUAGCUGGGAGUAUAUUGGACUUCAGUGUCUUGCUUGGGAAUUAUUAUUGUCAAGUCAGGUCUGCCUAAAUGUCCGUUUUUAUGGAUUUUUGACAAAACGGUGACAUAGAUUUUACAGACUAGAUUCCUAUUGGCCAUAUUAUACCUCGUUGUGUUCCUAUACCACCUAUGCAUGCAUAUAUGAUAAUAGUUUUUACCAACAGUCACUUCCAGUUACGUAGUGGCCAUCAAAAGAUGCCCACCCCCACCUGAUUUUGG